GGAACCGGGACGUGGCGGUUG
rnacentral:siRNA from 1 species